AUGCAAGUCGAACGAGUACGGCCUAGCUUGCUAGGUGUCGGCUAGUGGCAGACGGGUGCGUAACGCGUGGGAAUCUACCUGGUAGUAUGGAAUAACAGUUAGAAAUGACUGCUAAUACCAUAUACGCCCUUCGGGGGAAAGGUUUACUGCUAUCAGAUGAGCCCGCGUUAGAUUAGCUAGUUGGUAGGGUAAAGGCCUACCAAGGCUACGAUCUAUAGCUGGUCUGAGAGGAUGAUCAGCCACACUGGAACUGAGACACGGUCCAGACUCCUACGGGAGGCAGCAGUGGGGAAUAUUGGACAAUGGGCGAAAGCCUGAUCCAGCAAUGCCGCGUGAGUGAUGAAGGCUUUCGGGUUGUAAAACUCUUUCAGUAGGGAAGAUAAUGACGGUACCUACAGAAGAAGCCCCGGCUAACUCCGUGCCAGCAGCCGCGGUAAUACGGAGGGGGCUAGCGUUGUUCGGAAUUACUGGGCGUAAAGCGCGCGUAGGCGGCACAAUAAGUUGGAAGUGAAAGCCCAGGGCUUAACCUUGGAAUUGCUUUCAAAACUAUUGUGCUAGAGAAUGGUAGAGGAUAGCGGAAUUCCUAGUGUAGAGGUGAAAUUCGUAGAUAUUAGGAGGAACACCAGUGGCGAAGGCGGCUAUCUGGGCCAUUUCUGACGCUAAGGCGCGAAAGCGUGGGUAGCAAACAGGAUUAGAUACCCUGGUAGUCCACGCCGUANACGAUGGGUGCUAGAUAUCGGAAUUUUCGGUGUCGUAGUUAACGCGUUAAGCACCCCGCCUGGGGAGUACGGUCGCAAGAUUAAAACUCAAAGGAAUUGAC
rnacentral:rRNA from 1 species